rnacentral:rRNA from 1 species
GAGCGGUAACAGGUGUAGCAAUACAUGCUGACGAGCGGCGAACGGGUGAGUAAUGCUUCGGAAUCUGCCCAAUGGUGGGGAAUAACCAGCCGAAAGGUUGGCUAAUACCGCAUAAGUCCUACGGGGGAAAGCAGGGGAUCGCAAGACCUUGCGCCGAUGGAUGAGCCGAAGUCGGAUUAGCUAGUUGGUAGGGUAACGGCCUACCAAGGCGACGAUCCGUAGCUGGUCUGAGAGGACGACCAGCCACACUGGGACUGAGACACGGCCCAGACUCCUACGGGAGGCAGCAGUGGGGAAUAUUGGACAAUGGGGGAAACCCUGAUCCAGCGACGCCGCGUGUGUGAAGAAGGCCUGCGGGUUGUAAAGCACUUUUAGUGGGGAUGAAAAGCUCAGGGAUAACACCUCUGGGUCUUGACCUAACCCACAGAAAAAGCACCGGCUAACUCUGUG